UGGGGAAUAUUGCGCAAUGGGCGAAAGCCUGACGCAGCGACGCCGCGUGGGGGAUGACGGCCUUCGGGUUGUAAACCUCUUUCGCCAGGGACGAAGCGCAAGUGACGGUACCUGGAUAAGAAGCACCGGCCAACUACGUGCCAGCAGCCGCGGUAAUACGUAGGGUGCGAGCGUUGUCCGGAAUUAUUGGGCGUAAAGAGCUCGUAGGCGGUGUGUCACGUCGAUCGUGAAAACUUGGGGCUUAACUCUGAGCUUGCGGUCGAUACGGGCAUCACUGGAGUUCGGCAGGGGAGACUGGAAUUCCUGGUGUAGCGGUGAAAUGCGCAGAUAUCAGGAGGAACACCGGUGGCGAAGGCGGGUCUCUGGGCCGAUACUGACGCUGAGGAGCGAAAGCGUGGGGAGCGAACA
rnacentral:rRNA from 1 species